CCUCUGUGUAUCUGGCAUCAGGGCUGUGUGUUUUGCAUUUCUUUCUUGCUUGCUUUUCUCUCUUUUCUUAAAAAAAAAAAAAAAAUAUCUCCAGAGAAGCAGAAGUGACUUCAGAGUCACCAGCCGAGCCACGUGCCUCCUGCUGGCCUGUCAGCUCCUGACAAAGAACUGAUUUGACACUGGGGAUUUUCUGGCACA
rnacentral:lncRNA from 1 species